rnacentral:rRNA from 1 species
GAUCCUGGCUCAGGAUGAACGCUGGCGGCGUGCUUAACACAUGCAAGUCGAACGAAGCACUUAAGAUUGAUUCUUCGGAUGACGUCUUUUGUGACUUAGUGGCGGGCGGGUGAGUAACGCGUGGGUAACCUGCCUCACACAGGGGGAUAACAGUUAGAAAUGACUGCUAAUACCGCAUAACCCGAUAGGAUCGCAUGAUCCAGACGGAAAAGAUUUAUCGGUGUGAGAUGGACCCGCGU